ACGUAUAUUCAACUCUUCCAAAGUUUUUCAAUGCGAGAGGGGUUAUAUCCACAUACCCAUAGCUAGAUAUGUGUAGGACACGAGUGUCGGAUAAGAAAAAUGAAUAGUCAGAGCAACAUAGCUUAUAAGAAACCUUUUUAAUUAAUGUGGAGGAAGUGAUGUUGUUAAGUUUCUGCAAACCUAAGCUUUUCUCUACGAUAUUUAUGAGAGCAUAUCGUAUUUACAGAAAUAACCUGAUAUUGCAUAAACCUAAGCUUUUCU